CCUCUCUCAUACUUUACUCUCUCCACUUUAAUUCAAUAAUAUAAUUUUCUUAAUUCUCGUGCCGAAAAGAAAUCCAUCACAUGAGAUGGGAUGAAGGGAGUAUUAUGUAGUAGAAUAUCUACAUACUUUUAGUAGAAUUAUUUGUAUAUAGAAUUCUCUCUAUAUAUAAAAUAAAAUAAUAGAGUAGAGAAUUAUAGAAUUUUUGAGAAGUACCUAUAUAUAUGGAUGUGCCGUAACAUUUGGCAUAAGUUAUUAGUUUGGCCAAAUCUCCCAAGUCCUUUUAUAUUCACUCGACACCCAAAUCUCCCAAGUCCUUUUAUAUUCACUCGACACCAUUAUACUCACUACUAAAAAAAUGAGCUAUUCUCACACUUACAAUAUGACACUUCAUAAAAGAUGUCAAAAUAUAUAUCCAAUCAUCACAUCAACAUUUUAUGACAUUUAUAAUAUCCAUUAUUGCUGCAUUUUAAAUAAAUGUCAAAAGAGGAUUUACUUAAUGACAUUUUCAUUACGUGUCUUAUGAUUAUAAUGCUAAAUAUUAAGCCUAAAUUAAGAUAUAAAUUUAAAUAUAAAAUGAAAAUUGAUAUAUUGACUAUUAAUAUCCCGUAUCCACUCUUUGUGAUUCUCAAUUUGCACUUUAGUACUUUUCUCCCAAAGUAGUCAUUUUUUCACAUAUUGAAUAAUGGGCUUCACGUAUUGAAUAAUGGGCUUUCACAUUUUUUCUAUAACUAUAGCUUCAAAAAGCACCAUUCGACACUAUCAUAAAUUAGGGAGAAUAAAUUAGGGAUUCAGCGGGAGAUACAUUAAGCGUCAAACUCAUAACAUGAAUCUCACAACCGUCCACUCCCCCCCCAACUCCAAGCAAAUUCAUGAACUCACAGUUAUCUCAGAUAGUAUAGCAAAGAGAACAAAGUUGAGAGCUACCUCUGAUUCUUGCAAGGUGAGUUUUUCAGUGAAAUUAUUCUGAUAAUGAACAAUGUAAUAUAUUCACUGGAAUGAUAAUCUACUGUUGCUAACAUAGCUUUUAUGUUUUAAUCACAUACUGUAGGUUUCAAUUGAAUUUUAUUAUACAAUGUGAUCAAUUUUAAAGUAAUUUUUGUUUUAUCCCCCAAGUGUUUGAUGAAAUGAUCUCAAGUUUCACUAUAUCAUUUUUUACCAGAUAUUGUCUUUACUUAUUUUCACUCCAACGUAUGAAGUUACAUGUAGCUUCUAAAGGAGGGACACGGAUUAAAAAAAAGUGUUCGUUUGCAUGAGGAACAGAAUAUGUUAGCAGAAAGGUUUACAACUAGUGAAGGUAAAAAAUGUUUGGUUUCUAUGUGAUAGUAGGAAAAGAAAAUUGUGUUAUGUUUCGAUUAAAUAGUGAAACUAAAUCGAAUCUGCCGGAUUUAUUUUGACAACAAUAAAGAAGCUUUGAACAUGUUUCCAUAUUCGAAUGAGGAUAUAAGUGUUGACAUUGAAGAAGAGGAGGAAGGUAAUGGGAAAUCACACUCUAAUAAGCUCCUUAAUAUUUUAGAUAAUAGAUUAAUCAUUUUUUUUGUGCUUAAAGGUAGUUCAUCUGUACCUAAAUCUAUUGGAAAGGAAAGCAGAGGCCAUACCUAUAUGACAGAUAUUUGGGGCCGCCCUCCAAACCUACCACUCAUUUCUGUCGAGUAUAAUGAGUUUGGUAGCCUAUAGGUGGUGAAAAAGAGCAAGCUUUGUCAUUUCUUAGUUUCAAUUGCAAGAAAUGGUAAAUAUUGUCCAUUAGAUGUUAAUAAUUGGCAUGCCAUGCCGAGGGGGAAAAAGUUGAGAUGCUCGAAGUCAUUAAGUUACGAUUCACUAUCCUUAUCAUUGCCGAAAAAUGGGUUUUGGCCUACAUCGGAGUUAAAUGGAGAAGUUGGAAGCAUUAUUUGAAAAAACAAGUUAUUGGGCUGAUGUACCUAUCGAGCACUUAAUACAUGACAAGGAUGAUAGAGUUUUGGAAGAUCAAUGGAUCAAAUGUCUUGCUUACUGGAGAAGGGAAGAUGCAAAGAAUAUAAGUAUGAGAAACCAAAAAGCUCGAUCAAAGAAGUUAAUGAAUCAAAGAACAUGACAGACGUUAUUUGUGCAAGUUAAAGACACAUUGAUUUGCAGGUUGGCAGAUAUCCUCGGCGUGUAAUAAGUCUGUUUUUCCGCUUGCUGUAUCCGUGGAUGCCUUAUGGAGUUCCGAAACUGGUCUUGCAAGCUUUCUCAACAGGGUACGCACCUCUAAAAGACAUGUUUUCAUACAUGAUGGACAAGAAAGAAUUUGUCAAAAAUUUAGAAGAUAAUUUGACAAAAUUGAUUGGAGAGUUGGCCACAUUUUAUUCGAGGAAAGAAACUGUUGACCGAAGGCUAGAUACAGCCGUGUCUGAAGAAAAAAGUGGUGAAUACGAUGUGUUGGUUAAGCAAAUGGAGUAUCAUCAGAAAUGAUACAAUGAGUUUGUCAAUAAGUAUCAGCGAUAUUGCCAGGAUCUACCGAGUUUUGAGAUCCACGAUGUUUCGAGUGCAACAGAACUGAUGGACGAUGUGCAGAAAAGAAAGCCAACCAUCAACACACGCAAGUUCUUCAAGCUCGCAACACUUAGCAAGAAGAUUAAUGAGUUGGUUAAUGAGAUCUCUCUGGUUAGUGGUAAAAUGAAACCUGAAAAUGUGUUACGUGUUAAACAAAUAGAACACGUUCAAGUGAAAUAUGAUGAGGAUAUUUAUCUUCCUUCAUCCAGUACAAGUUUUGGCCCUAAGGACAUGCCGGAAUUAUCACAUGGACCGGAGCAUGUUAUUCAUGACUCAUUGGUUUUUCAAUAUCCUCUCGCUAGAUAUAUUUUCCUAAACAGAGACGUUGAUUGAGGAAUCGGAGGAACUGUUCUAACUAGUAAAGGUUUCUGGACUGGGGAUGAUGGUGUGCAGGAUCUACUGAGAAGAGGAACUUUCUUUGCUUUUAUUGGUGUUUUGAAGAUAAAACUGAGAAAUCUCAGAUUUCAUGUGGUGUGUACAAUUAUAUAUGUAAUCAAUAUGGGUUGAAACUGUACUCUCGCUAGUUAAAUAUUCAGUUUGCUUGACUAAUCUGAUGCUUGAUGUUGUUUUGUCCACACCUCAAUUGAGAAUUUCUGGAUUUUGAUUGUAAUCCACACUUUAUGGUCUUAGUUGUAAGUAGAGUUUGCUUC